rnacentral:lncRNA from 1 species
AGACAGGCGCGACAUUUGUUCAGGUGGGUACUUCGAUCCGACGUCGGUACAGUGGUGCACGCUCGGUGAUGGUUUCUUACCCUUACUCUUCUGUUGUUAUUAUUGCAUAGUAUACAUUGAGCCUUGCACCCAUGUUAUUCCAUUAUACUCUACUCGUUGUGUGCAUGCUUAGUAUCCUGAGUAGGAGUAGAGUGGUUCUAUCUAUGUGCGUAUCUAUUGACCUGGUUGGUCGAUUCUUGUACUUCAUAUCAGUGACUUGGUUGGUUGAUUCUUGUACUUCGUAUAAGUGACCUGGUUGGUUGGGUUUCAUACUUCGUAUCAGUGACCUGGUUGGUCUGUUCUUGUAUCUCAUAUUUGUGACACAUUCGGU